rnacentral:tRNA from 1 species
GCCCGAGUAGCUCAGUGGCAGAGCAACUCCAUGGUAAGGAGUAGGCCGGAGGUUCAAUUCCUCUCUCGGGCUCAA